ensembl:lncRNA
AAUUCACAGCUAUAUUUUUCCAAAAAUCCAUAUUCAAAUCAAAAUAGCCAACUUCCUGUUGGUCGUAGCUGAUGACUGUGAAUUAGAAAGUUGUCCGUCUUGAUAAGAACAAUUUAUGUACCGAGUUUGGUGUCUGUAGCUAAAACUAACCCCCCCACUUUUGACAAAAGGUGGCGCUAUAGAGUGGCUCCUCCACGCCCGUUCAUGAGCUUUUGCCAGUGUCUAGCUAUCAUUAAUACUGAUAUGUGUUUUGAGUUUUAUGUAAUUCUGAGCAUGUUAUCUGCCUCAAAAUCCCCAGAAAAGAAUAUUCAAGUUUGAAGCGUUGCCAUGGCAACACUAUGUUAGCUAUCAAUAUCCCCACAACAGAUUUACAUCGGCCGUGUUUUAUCAUUAUUCUGAUGAAGUUUGAAGCAAAUCGAGUAAAAAUAAGAUGCUGAAUUCAAAGCAUUUUGAAAAUGACACACUUCCUGCUGCCAGUUGGUGGCGCUGUAACUUUGACUCCUAAUAGUCACAUAUAUGCGAUUGGCAUCAUACAACGAACAAACUGAUGAAGUUUGAUAAAACUCAGGUAGUGUAUGUGAAUGUUAUUAGACAUUUCCUGUUUCUCAUUUCUCGCCAUAAUUUCAACGCCUCGCCAUGGACAAACCGUUCGAGAUAUCAAAAAUAUCUUCGCAAUUUAGCAUCCCCAAUGUCUUGAGAUCAUGUUCACCGAGUUUUGUGGCGAACGGGUGGAGUUCCUCAGAGGAGUAUAUCAAAUUCCAGAGCAUGUGUUUUUCACAAAACCCUAAAUAGCCAACUUCCUGUUGGGCGGAGCUUAUGACAUGCAGUGCGAAAGUUGUUUGGUUUGAUGAGAUCUACAUGUGUACUGAGUUUCAUAUGUAUACGUGCAAGUAUGGAUGAUAUAUGGCCCUCAAUAUUCCAGGGGGCGCUGUAGAGCCCCUGUGCCACGCCCGUGUAUCAGUCUCUGCCCGGCCCUAAUGGCCGCAGAUUCCAAGGUGUGUGCCAAUUUUCAAGACUUUUUAAGCAUGUUAAGGGCCCCAAAAGCCCCCAAACCCUUGGAAAAAAAUUAGAGGAAUAAAGAAAGAAAAAAAAAAAUAAUCCUAAGGAAAACAAUAGGGCUCUUCGCCCUCCAGGCUUGAGCCCUAAUAAUUAAAGCUGCAAGCAGCGAUGAACGGGCCCUCGCACCCGGGCUCACCACCACCGGGUGGCUUUUGUAAAACAGCGAACGGCGAGAAAUAUGCGUUUAAUGUGGUAAAUAUAAGAGGAAUAUGUCAAAGUCAUUUAUAUGUGCCAAUCUUCCUGCUGCCAGCUGGUGGCGCUAUAACUAUAACUGGAUUUUGGCAUGUAC